rnacentral:rRNA from 1 species
GGGCCCGCACAAGCGGUGGAGCAUGUGGUUUAAUUCGAUGAUACGCGAGGAACCUUACCAGGGCUUAAAUGUAAGUUGCAUAGAGUAGAGAUAUUCUUUUCUUCGGACUACUUACAAGGUGCUGCAUGGUUGUCGUCAGCUCGUGCCGUGAGGUGUCAGGUUAAGUCCUAUAACGAGCGCAACCCCUGUUGUUAGUUGCCAGCGAGUCAAGUCGGGAACUCUAACAAGACUGCCAGUGCAAACUGUGAGGAAGGUGGGGAUGACGUCAAAUCAUCAUGCCCCUUACAUCCUGGGCUACACACGUACUACAAUGCUACGGACAAAGGGCUGCAAGUUCGCGAGGACAAG